CAACAAGACGCACCAGCAAGCGAAGAGCUAAUUCUCUGGAUGAACAUUCUCUAGAUAGAGCAUAAAGAUUGACGGCUAUGCGAAAUCUGGAUGUGCCAAAAGGGCCACACACUUGGUAAGGACGUGGGCGAUACUUCACAAGGAGGAUCGGGACACCAUCUCAGCAGCGUGUCGGGCCUUGGAAUCAACCGCUAUGGAGAUCUUUGCGAGGCAUGGGUGACAGUUUAGAAAUAGGCUUUGCUUUUAAAAUUGUUUCCCUUCCUUCUUUAGAUCUGAUGGUGUUUACUUUGUAAUAAGGGUUACAUAUAACUUGCGUUAUAGAGGCCGGAAUAUGACUAUUCCUUUAUCUAAAAAAGUUAACCUACCUCCCAGGGAAGAGAA